GCCUGGAUGGCUCAGUCGGUUGAGUGUCUGACUUAGGCUCAGGUCAUGAUCUCCUGGUUUGUGAGUUCCAGCCCCACAUCAGGUU
rnacentral:tRNA from 1 species